AGCUCACUCUCUUCUCCUCUUGCCACGUCAUCAAAUAGGGGGAGGAGGUGCUAACACGUGUCGAUUUUUACAAAACGCGUAGUAUCAUUUAUUUUUGUUCUGGUGGGCUUCUGUUUCGUUGGGCCAUGUCGUCGAUCAAUUUAUGUGUUUAACAAAAGCGACGUGAUUAAACGCCGUAUUUCGUUAGGUCUCAAGUCUGUUCGGAUACUCAUAUCCAGAUCUGAUUUCGACGUCGGUUGCGCAGUGAUCUUUCAUCUUCUUCCUCAGCAUUGCCUGUAACCGAAUUAUCAACUUUAAGUCCUCAAUUAAUCGAUCACCCACGAUCUAGGUUCAAUGCGAGAAUUUUGCUUGAACAUCAUCUUGGUAUACAAAGAUUCUCUCUCUCUCUCGGAGCAGAAGCAUCAACUACAUCAAGCCUGUCUGAAUGCUUCAGCUCUCAUCUUCUCUUUCCCUAACGUAACUCCACCAAAUUCACUCUUUGUAGGGCUCGAUCUCCCUGCCUCUCAGUCAUGAACAUCCAUCCUCUGUUCUUGAACACACCUAAAUCUAAGUCUUUUUUUUUGAUCGGUGGCGAGAAUGCUAAGUCUGCAGCGGGAUCGUCUGUCUCCGAGCUCAAAGAGCACCGUCGCUACAGAGACGCCUCCAGCUCCUCGAUACAAAUGGUUUGUGCUUCUCUUCUUCUUCUUCCUAAUCUAUAUGUAGUUGUUUGAGAUUGUUCGCGUCUCAUUAAACUAAAAGGCUUCGAUUUCUGCUUUCUUUUGAUUUUCGUACGGGCUUAAGCGAUUGUGUUAUUUGUGGGCUUUGAAUAAUGGAUUUUGGCCUGAGAAAGAAACUAAACCUUACACCGUUAUUUGCCUGCACCUACCUCCUUCACGAGAAGCGUUCUAGGGUUCUUCGUUUUCUCCAAAAAUCUGAUUACGUCUACAAACAAUGGAGGUGCGGAUAUGGGAAAUGAGGCUUACGUGAGUCGUCAGAUGGUGUCGUUUCGUGAUCGAUCUUCCCUCUCUCGAGCCGUUACAAAUUGCAUUUAUUCACCUCCAUUCAAUGACCCUUAUCUCUUUUCUCAACUUGAACAGGCUAUAUAAGUACCUGCAUGUGGAAGGCAUUGAUAUCAAUCUCAGAAAUGCAAUGUCAAUUAUCCUGUUAUUUUGUAAAUUCGUAGAUGCUAUGUUAUACUAACGAAAUCAUUGUAUUUGGAUUUGUAGAUGGAUUAUAGAAGCAUGGUCUCUUCUUGACAGAGAUCACUGAAUCCUUGAAAACCAGCACGCUUCAUCUUCCAAUUAUUGGAAAGCUGUGGGUCUGUGGUUUAUAUACAAGAUCUCCAGCAUACAGUUUGUUCAUCUGUUGAUGUCGUGCACGGUAUGGCGUCUUCCGUAUCCUCGCUGAUUCGAAGAUGUCGAUCAUUAUCAAAGGUGGUGCUAAUAUGAGAGGAUGGACUGAGAAGAGGAGCGAUGAUGAGCUCGAGAUCUUGAGGAAUGCCGGUGGUGUGCUGCUUCAAAGAGAGAUCCCUCACUCAGUCAACAUUCUCAAGUUGCUAAGGCCUUAAAUAGAGCAGUUGUUUCAGUCAUCCUUGACGUUGGAGGAAUGGAUACGCCGUUCCCUAAUGAGCUAUUGGAUUCAGUUGAUGUCUUAAGCUAGAAUGACACUGAGCUUGGUCUCUUGACCGGAAUGCAUACUGAAACUAUUGAACAGUCUAAGCCUGGCUGUUGCAAAGUGCCAUAAGUUGGUUUAUAAUUCUUCUUUCGCACAUUUCCAGUACUGAAACUCAAUUUUGGUUACUGGCUUAGUGGGUUUUAGGCUAUCAGUCUGCCACAAAUUGUAAUUAGGGCUGUGUAUAUUAUUAACUAAAACCACAUGUGCUGUCGUCAUCACUCAGCAUUCGUUGAGCAUCUCUCGGAAACUAUCUAAUCCCUCCCCGCCGUCUCGGUUUUCACCGCCGAUUAGAAAACGAGAAGGUCGCCCCAGCUUCGUCAAACAUGUUUGGUAAGUAUCUAUUUUAGUUUUAUAUGUAUUUGCAUAGAUGGAAUCACAAGAAUAAUUAAAUUAAAAAGGAAGUUUCAGGUGAUCAUGUCAACGUGAGCGAAGGUAGUUUCAUGAGAUUGUGAAGCCUGUUUAUUCCUAUCCCUCGACAGAAAAUGGACUGUUCCUCGAGUGACCAGUUUCCUUAGUAACAUACAAAGCGUCCUCCGCUGGAAAGAGAGGGGCCAAGCGAUCCAUUUUCUUUCAAAUUUGGUUAGUUAACAUUAUUGUGUUGACAAAAAAGGUUAACAGUAUUUUAUCAUAUUAUGAAUGAUAUAUUUGAAUUCCAUAAUCUCAUAUUUGAAAAAAGAAAA